GUUGGUGGCUCCCUGUGCUGGAGCAGAGCAUCAGCUGCUCCUCGAGCUGUGGAGAUCACUGCAAAGAGCAGCUAACAGCUCCAGGCAGGAUGUACACAUCCUAGGAUCUUCUGUGGAUGCUGUCUUGAGCUUACUGCCACUGCGCUUCCUCUGCUGGUUCAUCAACCCACCCCUCAGGCUGGGAUUUAGCUGCCCUGAUUUUGGCAACCUGAAGUCUGAGUAAGUCUCUCCAGGACUUUCCCAUCCCUGUUUCCUGGAAAGAGGCAGCCCAGGAACCCAGGCCUGGGAAAAGGCCACCUGGAAAACCUUUCCUGAGCCACAGCUCCUGCUUUGGGAUCCCUGGGCAGGGUUGGACCCCUGCAGGCAUAUGGUACCCAUGCACCCCCCAGGUUAUUCCAGCCUUUUGCAGCUCUUCUCCUUGAUGCAACAACAGGGUGCUGAUGGAAGCCACCACCACCGCAUCCCACUCUGGCUACUCAGCCAUCCUUACCCAACAUCUUCCAUCUAGGACAGUGAAUUCCUGCAGGCCAAGCUUGUGCUAAGCUGCUUAGUUUGCUACCACAGCUUGUAAAAGCCAUCACUCUGCUGCCCUCAGCUACAGGACAUCUCUGUGAGUGUGUCUUGCCCUGCAUUUGGCUUUUACUGCUAAAGGUGCAUCUCCCUGCUGGGGCCUUACCCUGGGGAUGUGGCUGGAUGGGAGGGACCACCAUGUUCUCCCCAGCCUGGGGCACCUCACCAGACCUCAGUGGCUUUUGUUAACCUUUGGCAUCAGCUUUCCACAGGUCAUAAAGGAUCCAGUCUGGAGGAGUCCAUCCUUCACCAGAUCCUGGCUUCUGACCUACACGACAUACAUGCACAUUUUUGAGGCCACUGGGUGUUGGGCAAUGCUGGUGAGCUGGAGGAGGUGAUGAUGUGGAGCUUCACUGAGAAACCUCUACGUGACCAGUUACACAAGGUGAUGCUAUUGGUGUCAGAGCUGGAGUCUGCUUCUGGACAGGCUGCGUUCCAGUCCAUCAGGAGCUGCCCAUUAACUGCACCAAGGUAGAUACAGCUCAUGAUGGGACAGCUGGAAGAAGAUAAAUGGGUCCGUCUCCUUGGCUAUGAUCCCGGUUGAAAUAAAG
rnacentral:lncRNA from 1 species